UGGUUCUGGCAUCGAUGAAGAACGCAGCGAAAUGCGAUAAGUAAUGUGAAUUGCAGAAUUCAGUGAAUCAUCGAAUCUUUGAACGCACAUUGCGCCCGCCAGCAUUCUGGCGGGCAUGCCUGUUCGAGCGUCAUUUCAACCCUCGGCGCCCCGGGAGCGAUCCCGGGGGGCCGGUGUCGGGGCUCCCGGCGCCUCAGCGCGCCGGGUCCCUCAGAGAUAUCGGCGGGCCCCAGCGGGACCCGGGCGCAGUAGACAAGCUCGCCCUGGGACCCGAGGGGGACCCCUGCCGCUAAACACCCCACUAUAGCAAAGGUUGACCUCGGAUCAGGUAGGAAUACCCGCUGA
rnacentral:misc_RNA from 1 species